UACGUAGGGGGCAAGCGUUGUCCGGAUUUAUUGGGCGUAAAGAGCGUGUAGGCGGCUUGGAAGGUCAGCUGUGAAAACUCGAGGCUCAACCUCGAGACGUCGGUUGAAACCACCUGGCUAGAGUCCGGAAGAGGAGUGUGGAAUUCCCGGUGUAGCGGUGAAAUGCGCAGAUAUCGGGAAGAACACCCGUGGCGAAGGCGGCACUCUGGGCCGAUAUUGACGCUGAGGAGCGAAAGCGUGGGGAGCAAACAGG
rnacentral:rRNA from 1 species